rnacentral:rRNA from 1 species
GAACGGGUGAGUAAUAUAUCGGAACGUGCCCAGUCGUGGGGGAUAACGCAGCGAAAGCUGUGCUAAUACCGCAUACGAUCUCUGGAUGAAAGCGGGGGACCUUCGGGCCUCGCGCGAUUGGAGCGGCCGAUAUCAGAUUAGCUAGUUGGCGGGGUAAAAGCCCACCAAGGCGACGAUCUGUAGCUGGUCUGAGAGGACGACCAGCCACACUGGAACUGAGACACGGUCCAGACUCC